CCAGUACUACUUUUUUUUUUAAUACUUUAAGUUCUAGGGUACAUGUACACAACGUGCAGGUUUGUUACAUAUGUAUACAUGUGCCAUGUUGGUGUGCUGCACCCAUUGACUCGUCAUUUACAUUAGGUAUAUCUCCUAAUGCUAUCCCUCCCCCCUCCCCCCAUUAUUUGAGAUAGGGUCUUCUCUGCCACCUAGGCUGGAGUGCAGGGGUGCAAUCAUAACUCACUGCAGCCUUGAACUCCUUGGGCUCAAGUGAUUUUCCCACCUUAGCCUCCUGAGUAGCUGGAGCUGCAGGCAUGCACCACCAUGCCUGGCCGACUUUUUUAUUUUUUGUAGAGAUGGGUU
rnacentral:lncRNA from 1 species